rnacentral:tRNA from 2 species
UGGGGCAUAGCCAAGCGGUAAGGCAACAGACUUUGACUCUGUCAUCCCGUGGGUUCAAAUCCCGCUGCCCCAACCA